GAAUUACUCCCUCCGUCCGAAAAUACUUGUCGUAGGAAUGGAAGUAAAUGGGUGUAUCUAAAACUAAAUUGCAUCUAGAUACAUCCAUUUCUUCGACAAGUAUUUCCGGACGGAGGGAGUACAUG
rfam:Triticum urartu cultivar G1812 contig401772, whole genome shotgun sequence.